UGAGUUGCGAACGGGUGAGUAACGCGUAGGUAACCUACCUCAUAGCGGGGGAUAACUAUUGGAAACGAUAGCUAAUACCGCAUGACAAUUAAGUACUCAUGUACUAAAUUUAAAAGGAGCAAUUGCUUCACUAUGAGAUGGACCUGCGUUGUAUUAGCUAGUUGGUGAGGUAACGGCUCACCAAGGCCACGAUACAUAGCCGACCUGAGAGGGUGAUCGGCCACACUGGGACUGAGACACGGCCCAGACUCCUACGGGAGGCAGCAGUAGGGAAUCUUCGGCAAUGGGGGCAACCCUGACCGAGCAACGCCGCGUGAGUGAAGAAGGUUUUCGGAUCGUAAAGCUCUGUUGUUAGAGAAGAACGGUAAUGGGAGUGGAAAAUCCAUUACGUGACGGUAACUAACCAGAAAGGGACGGCUAACUACGUGCCAGCAGCCGCGGUAAUACGUAGGUCUCGAGCGUUGUCCGGAUUUAUUGGGCGUAAAGCGAGCGCAGGCGGUUAUUUAAGUCUGAAGUUAAAGGCCGUGGCUCAACCAUGGUUCGCUUUGGAAACUGGAUAACUUGAGUGCAGAAGGGGAGAGUGGAAUUC
rnacentral:rRNA from 1 species